rnacentral:sRNA from 1 species
UGCUGCUGCUGCUGCUGUUGAUGUGAUAAGAGUCAUUUGCUGUAUAGCCUUCAAUGGCCUGGUACUUGCAAUUAUAGCUGAGAUUUAUCUCAAACUCAAGGCAGUUCUGUCUCCACAGAGCAGAGAUUACAAGCAUGCCUCACAAUGUACAACUUUUGUUUCCUUUGUUGAAAUAAUCGAAAUAUAGAUCAUUCAGUUAGUAAAUGUAUAGUAUAUAGUAUGAAAUGAAUAUUGGCUUUUCUACUUUUUUUUAACAUCUGAUGAUUUGUUGAGUUGAGUUGAAAGGCAAAGCAACCAUAUAAAAAUGAUAUUUUUAUAUGUAUAUGUCUGUCUGUCCAUAUGCUCAUUGUGUACAUGCAAUGUCUACAGAGGCCAGACAAGGGCGUCAGAUUUCCUAGAACUGGAGAUAGAGGAGGCUGUGAGCCAUCUGAUGUAUAUUUUUGGAACUCAAUGUAGGUCCCGUGCAAGAGCAGCAAGUUCUCUUAACAGUUCCGCUAUCUUUCUAGCCCUCAUAUUCUUUCCUAUUGCUGUUUAAUUAGUUGUGAUAUUCUCUGAUAUUAUAAUACUAAACUUGGAAUCUCUAAUUUAUGUUUGUGUUUUAAAUACUGUGACUUCCCACAGGGACAAGUAAUAAAAAUAAUAAGAUCAACAGCUAGUUUGGGUUGAUCACAGUUGUACAAAGUGUAAAAAAAAAUUUUUUCCACCUCCAGCUUCAAGUCUUUACCAGCUACUACUGGUCCAUUUCUGAACAUAAUCUAAGGUCUGCUUCAUAAUGACUUGUCACCAUCCUGAAGUAUAAUAAUCUCAUUGUCCAAAAGAAAUAAAAUAAUAGUCUGAUACAAGUGUCCAUGUGUGUGUUGUAUCACACUGAAGGGCUCUCCCAUCUUCUGAACUUGGUCUUCAUCGGGGACUCUUAAGGUCAGGACGAAGAAGAGAGAACAAGAAUACAGGUGUGAAGCUUUUUUCUCCGGCUCCUCUAAGUUGCACACAUAUCCUUCCCGAGUCAGGCAUUUAGAGUUUGUGUUAUGGGCUAUAUUUAUGUGUUCUUCAAAGAUAAUCAGCCAUCCUCACGCCCUUCCAUACAGCCAGACUUUGUAUGCCACAUCCUUUCCUUACAGGAGCAACCGACUCUCAAUCUCUCCCAAUCUGAUCACUUAAUCAUUCCACUAUCAGCGUCUGCCCACUGCAGUCCUUGGUGCCCCAGCAGGCAGCUGUCUUAAGCAGCACCAUUCAUAUGAUGCCUCUAAUCUCUUGAAUCCUUGACCAUUCUUAUGUUAGAAAUAUCUCUGCAUCUAUUUUUUAAUCCAAUUAUCAGGGGGCUGUGUCAUCCAGAUUCCCAUUCUCAGAAUUCUUCUAGCAAGAGCUAGGCGUAAACUCCUGUCUCUAUGACUAUGUCCAGUAAUUUGGGGGAAAGAUUUCAUAUUAAUUUGGGGGAAAGAAUUCAUAAUAAUUUGUAGAUAUCAGCAUUAGGCAACUAUAACAAGAAUUUAAUGGGGAGUUUGAGAGUGGUCCUGGUAACACCUGUCUUUCCCUCUUAAGAUGACACUUCCCAUGUGUAUUAAGAUUCUUUGGGGGAAGCCUUUCCAAUAAUCCCUUUUCAAAUGUUUAGUCUCCCCUAUAUGCGGCUGGCAGGGAAGAGCUGAUAAGUGGCUUUACCAGUAAUUUUCCAUGGCCAUCAGCUUCGAAGCCUUAGCUACAUUCCAGGAAACAAGUCCCACUUCACAUCUAAUUAUGCUCAUUUAAGGCUCGCAUUAAUUCUGUGAGGGAAGCGUUCUCAUCAUUUCAGUUAAACAUCAGGAAAACUGAAACAAAAAGGCGUCUCAUAACUCUCCCAAGGUCAGGCAGAUUGCCCAAGGUUACUUAAUAUGAAGUAGCUGCCUGACUGCAAGCUCUUAUCUCCUCUGCUAAACUGCCCAAGUAGAAUUGGGCAGAUUCUGGAGGAUUAAUGAACCAAUCCCCUAGGUAGGUGCCCCAAAUGGCUAAGUAGACAAAGUAACCGAAUGUGCCCCUGCUCUGCUUUCAUUUCACUUUCCAGACCUUCGAAUGCUCUGAUAGAAACACAUUCUUCUGUUCCCCUUCUUCCUGUCUUAGAAUGAUUUAAACACUUUACGAUUAAUUAGCAAUUUCAGUAUGAAACCAAUUGCAUUUUAUAAGGUUAUGCUAUCCCUCAUUCAGCUGUCCCAAAAUUGCGUGGUUUUGUAGUACGGACGUAAACUAUAAAAACGGUACAGUAGGACUUUACUAAGAAGUGAGGGAAAUACAUUAUUGCAAGAAGGAAAGAACUGAAAGAUCCUAAAGCACUGCUUUUAUGCUUUCUGAAUUUUGUAGAUAUUCUAUUUGUACUUAUAAUUGUAUCACGUCAUUAGUUUAUAUGAGUAUCUCGUAAAUCAAAACCUUGUUUGACCCCUUCACAUUAGACAUUGUUGGUUUUGCUGCUGUGUUCGAUAUAAAUCUGCCGUGUAGUGCGUGCUAUUCAAUGGCACACAAAUUAAAAAUAGUGCAUCAUUAAAAUAUAUCUGCUUGUGAACUGUAAAUAUGGGGAUUUGGCGGGAAAGAACUGUCUUCUCUCAGGUGCUUCAUUCCAGCAAGAUGUCACAGAGCUUAUCUUUAUUGCUACUUGAGUUGCAUAUUUAUUUCAUCUCACCUAACUGGCAGCAUCGGCUGUUUCCUUCUGCUGGUUCCAAUUAUUAUGAUUAUUUCCAGCCCGAGCGAAGUCUGGCAAAGCAAACAGGGAAGAGGAAAGAGAAUAGGCUCAUUUCCUUAAGCUCACACGCAAGCCUAUCAGCCUUUAACUGCACACACCAUUCGUCAGGAUUUGGAGUGAGAAACUUACUACUGAAUUUGCUUUUAUUGGGCACUGCAGACAAAAACUCAAAUGUACACAAGACACAGGUUAGCACUUUGGCAUAAUUUGGAGGUAGCAAACCUUACCGCUGGCCCUUAGAGACUGAGACACUGUCUCCCAUUGCAGAUGCUGAAGGACGUCCUUUAGCAGCCAUUCUGGAAGUUGAUCGUGCAUAUUCUGUGUGAAAAAUGAGAGAUUAUAUGUAUGCAAGUAUGUAUGUUACUUUAGAGAGAAGAGGCAACAUGUACAGCUCUAUCAUGAAAAUAAUUUGGGUAAUUUAGUAUUUUCUCAUUUUUAGUACCCACCAUGGUUGGGGAUAUGAGAUUAAUUAUGCACACAAUGAUCAUGUAAAUAACAUUGGAGUUGGGGCUAAGGUAACCUAUGUAGGUUCAUUUCUGUCAAUAGUUUUGUGUGUUGGUAUGACAAAAGGCAGUUUUCCUCUGUUCCCAGGGGCGCAAGGUUUUUGAGAAGAACUCCAAAGGAUUUAGGACAUUUGAAUAAAUUGGCUUUGAAUCUUUUAUAUAGAUUCAAGGAUUUCAGAGAAAGAGCAAUCAAGGGAAUAAAGGCAUUAACUUCGACGCCGAGUGAAGCUGCCCCUGCCAUUCCUUGCCCAGGAAGCCCUAAUUGCCGCAGCUAACUAAGAAGUCUACAAAGACUGGUUCUCUAACUCUAAAGCAGACAAAGGGUUUAACGCAGAAGAAUGUGUCGAAGCAGACGCUGAAGCUGUGGAAUUUUACCAACUGAAUCUGAAAGUCUCCAAUUUGGUACACAAGCACAUUUGAUGGAGGAAACUGACAUACUGAGACCAGCCAUGCCAACCGCUAAGCAGGUGUUUCUCUUUCUUGGUGCCUUGUUGCUUAUGCACUUGGAAGUAAACAGCAGCAUCAUGGUACAUGGGCCCAGCAUCCUUGAAAUGAACAUGCAUGUAAGAUAUUGCUGGAUGGCCAUCAAAGCCUCUUGUACAUUCUAAUUUUUCUCUCUCUCUUUCUCUUUAAUUGUCUUUAACCUUGUAAACAAAGCCUAAAUUUAAAAAUAAUUAAAAUUUUGGAGAUUACAGCACCUAUAACUUAUCAUGACCAGGUCUUCUCCUUUAAUAAUGUGUAAAUACAUUAUGAUUGAAAUCAACACUAAAUAUGAUCAAAUUAAAUAUUAUGAGGAAUCAUUAAUACAUCUACAGAAUAUUAAUAGACAUCCCUCUGUACACAAAUGAGCAUUGCUUAGUGCCAGCAAUGCUAACACUACUAAAAGCCAUUGCAUUCACUUCCUUUGAAUAAUAAGCAAAACCUGCUAAAGACCUACACUUUAUUUUAAUUAUGUAUUUGCCACGCUUUCAUAAUUAGGAUUUGGGAUCUAAUCAAAGUCCUUUUGUGUUUGUUUGUUUAGGUCUUUUGUAUGAGUGACUACCUAAUAUAUAUCAAAGGUUUAUAAUAAUUUUCACUUCAGAAUUUUAUUAAACAAUAAAAAACCCUCUUAUUAAAAAUAGGAACUACUAAAUAUAUAGCUAGAUUGCCCAGGGACAUAGAGAAAUGGUAACGUCUCUAAGCAUAAUAUUCCCAUGCUCAGUGGUUAAGAAUGACAACAACACGUUCCCUGGCUGCCCCAGAUUAGCCACAUUGGAAAAGAUCUGUAGAGACAUAGACCCCUUUCUUAACACUUGCAUCAGGAUAUUACCCACUGCAAAAGGGCUUUUAAAACCCUUGUUCAAUUCAUACUGAAAUAAUCCACUUUAUCCAUAUUCUUGAGCUCACGUUUUUAUAGCAGCCAUGGUUUCAAUAACACAUCCAGGCUCAAAAAUGGAGAGUCAUCGUAGCAGUCAAUUUAAUGUAAAGAAAAAAUAAAAUGAAAAAUACUAGAAAAAAAAACAAUUUCAAGCUUAAGUCUCUAAACAGUGUGUACUAACUCUAAGAAUAUUACCUAAUCUUUGGAACCACUAUUAAACUUCCCUCUAUGAUGAAGAAGUGAUUGUUUUAAUUACUACUGCAAGUGCAUCUAAUAUACAGUUAGCUAUGUAAAACUGGUUGUUUCUGUCAGACAUGUCCUAACACAGUUCGCUCUUUCCUAUAGAUUAGAUUACUCUUCAGUGUUUGGAUUUAGAAUACUCACAUCUCACCCAUUUGCCGAAGGUGUGUGAAGUGUUGUUCUGUGUAUGCUAACUCUGAGUUAGUUUAUCAAGUGUGUUCAUUCAUUUUGCACAACAUGGGAGUCAUUGAUUAGAGCCAUCUUCUAAUUCACUACUUUUAUAUUUCCUUCACAUUUCACAGCAUUGUCAUCUGACAUUCUUCUUAGGAACUUACUCUACAGAUCUGAAAUGGAGAGCUGGAAGGAAAAGCCAGUUGUUCUAUCGUCUUGCCUACCUCACACCAUUAACAACUUGCCAUUAAUCUGCUUCUCACUGGCUCCAAGCUCCUACCUGCCUCUAAGGGACCCUACACUUUCAAACUGGUCCCACACCUCUGACGUACACAUUGCCCUUUCCUUUACCCCUAAUUCUUUUUGACAUGAAAUUUAUUUAUCUUUCACUCGUGCAGACAACAGACUUUAGGAUUUUCUUCUAUCUCUGUUUUCCUGUGGCCUCUGUCACCUUUCUAGCACUUGGAGUUAAGACUCUGCCAGGUAAACAUUUAGACAGCCUAAUAGAGACCUUCUUAGCUAAAUUUGACAUAACUUUCUGUCCAUUCAGUAUUUUCUCUUGUAUAUUUUGAUGUGCUGAAAUUUAUUAAUACCUUACUUUUUAAUUUUACUUAUUAAAAUAACAUCAUAAAUACAUUUUAAUUUAGUUAAUUGUGGUUCAAUAAGUUAUAUUUUCUCAGGAAUAUCCUGUGAAUGAUAAAUGGAUAGCACACAUGACUGUCUCCUAAUGUUUUAAUUUUUAUAGUGUGCAAAACAUUCAGGAGGAGAAAAGCCCAGCUGUAAAAUCAAGGUUUCCGGACCAGGCUAUUUCUAUUCAUAGCACUGAAAAUGGGACAUGAUACUAGCUAUUGCCGAAAAGCCACUCCAAGGUGAAUAAUUUAUGUGGGAAAAACUUUAAAGGCUUAAUUAUGUAAAUAUUAUUCAAGUACUACAUUUUACAAGAGCACACUUUUAUCUACUCUUUGUGAUUUAGAUUGGCAACAGAAAUUCAAAAGUCUGAUUUAAAAAAGCACUAAGUAAUGAAGUCUUUUAUGUAAAUUCUAUAUCGAAGGUAGAGUUUCAAGCUUAAAGUCAUAGGUUCUCAUGUCUACAUAUUUUAACAUAUAAUUUACAACACAUUGCUUGGAAGAAAUCUGCUUGGAUUUUAGAGAUUUUUUUUCAAGAGUUACAUAUUUAGACACAUUUGCAAUCAUAGUUACUAAUAUUUUUCAAAUAUUAUUUGUGAGUGUGCGCUUUGCAUCUGUAUGUGUAUGUGUGCACAUGUGUGCAUCUGUGUGUACGUGCACCGUGUGUAUGCACAGGCAUGAUUGUGGGGGGAUGGGUGUUCAUUGAAGGACAAUUUCAGGUUUCACCCUUUGCCCUCUUUUUUGAGAUGGUAUGUUUUACUUUCUGCUACUGCAUGUACCCGGCUACCUGGCAUUCCUGGGAUUCUCUUGUCUCCCCUACCAAUUUUUGUGGAGAAGCAUUGAGAUUACAGACAAUCGUGGUCACAUCCAGGUUUUUGAAGUUUAAUGUAUGUUUUUCAGUAGUAACCAUUAUUAUGAUUUUACAUACUAGCCACAUAUUUGUGAUGAUCUGACCAAUGCACACCCUUAACAAAUCCCAAGCAAACGAAGGGCUUUUAUGACAAGAACUUAAAGUCUUUGAAGAAGGAAAUGGAG